GUCUGCUCCCGGGUGUAGUGGGCUCCUGGGACCGCAGUUCCCAGGUGGGCUCCCGCGCUGAGCGUCUCGAGAACUUGUUGGAAAUACAGGUUCCAGCUCAGACUCGCUGAAUUGAAACUCCAGCAGUCUGAGCUCACAGUCCGGGUAAUUCAGGUGAGCGCGAGUCUGCGAGCUGCUGGGCUAGGGGACGGCGGCAACGUGUCGCCCCUUCGACCCUGGAUUCCGAACGGCGCUCGGAAUGAGUGACCCGCGUUCGACCAGCUUGGAGACGGGGAGACAGACUGCAAAGAGCCGAGAGCCCGGCGAAGGUCACAGCCGGCAGGUCCGGACUCAGCGGCCAUCCUCUCCGUGCGGAAGGUUUGGCUACGCUCGCUAGCUUGCUCCCUCUGCUUCAGUUCACUCCUCGGUCCGGGACAAAAGGGCUGCGUUUGUCCAGGCCGCCGGAGACCUUCGCUUCUGAAUCCACAUCCUCUCUGGGUCUUACUAACACCGGGAGUUUGUUCCGGACUGUCUCUUUGGAACACUCUCCACGCCGCCACCCCCCAGGUGCCUCUAUCCUGGGCCCAUUCCCCUUAACUUUGGGAUGAGAUUUUCUCUAAGGAGCACGACCUUAACUGGUUGCAUCCACAGGGACCCAAAUCUGCAAUUUGUGGGACCUCAGCCGGGUACCAGGUACCCAUCCGGGCUCGGGGAUCUGCAGACCCGGCAUUCCUGCCUCCCGGAUCAAGUCCGGUCCUCCGCUGGGCCACCCCCCUCUUGCCUGCCUCCUUCCCCUCCCCCACCGCCACCCCGUUGGCAACCUCUGACUCUCGCCUCCAGUCCUGGCUAAGCCCUCACAACUCCUCCUCUGGACAGUGUGAGGCUUUCUCAUUCACUCUUUCAUUCCACAGACAUUUCCUGGCGCCUCCCAGCACACGGUGCUGGGUGUCCCUGAAGAGCCACGUCCCUAUGGUCGUAGAACCUAUGUCCUCCCUAGAGAUGGACACACAAAUCUGUUGACAGCCCACCUCUCUCCUAGUUAGGGUGGUUUGAACUCCCCAUCCUAAAAAAAACAAAGCCUUCUCUAUACCACACCCCUCCACCCACCUGCCCACUUCUCUGCUCUUCUUUACAACAUAAUCCCCGCCUGCCUCCCCCCACAACUGUCUGCAGCCUCAUCUCCACUUUCUCAGCCCUCCUGGUCCCCCACUGUCACUGUCAACUCCUGUGUUUUACACACACUGGCCAAUUCUCUGCUUUUUCCUGAACUGACCCCUGGCAGCAUACUCACCCCUGAACACUGCUGUCUCCCACCUCUCCUGCACCUCCCUCUGCUGCUUCCUCCCGCAGCCUGGAAAUGCACCCCCACCACCUCCACCUCCGCCUUUGGUGCUUCUCAGGCCCUUGAGCUGCUCAUGUCCACUUAAGGCUCGAGAUUCGUUCCCGAGCUUGAUGGCCCCCUGGGCUGACCACACCCGCCCUGCCCCCGCCAUCUCUCAUCCCACCAGGCCUCCCUCAGAUAGGCCCUUCUCCAUCUCAGGGUGCCCACCCAUUCUUUUCCCAUUCUCAGCUCAGAGUUCCCUGGUGCUGGGUGGUCACCUCCAUUUGGUGAUUACAUCCACUGCUGCCACGUGGUCCAACUGGGAUUUUUGCAUCAGCCUUCUGUUUCCCUAAAACCUAAGUCCAUCCAUGUCCAUCUUUCUGGACGUAGGAGUUGCAGUGGUCCCGUCAUCCUUAGGGACCCCGGGCCUUCCUGCCCUGUCUCCCACCAGCCCCAUUCUGGUUCAUCCCCACCAGCCCCCAGCUGCCUCCGCCUCCAGGCCUUUGUGUAUAUGGUGGCACUUUUGCCCAGACCCACACUUUCUUCCAGCGCCCACUCAACAUUUCUGACACCCGUGUGAGUCUGCUCCCAGCCCCACCCCAUGGGCACCCCUCCACGCCCACCACCCGAGGGAGCAGGAAGCUGCAGCCCAAGGGUGAGAGUGUGGGAUGCAGCCCCCAGCCCCCUUCUCCUGGCCCCAUGGCCAGCACUGGGGCUGUGUCCCCUGGGCUAUCGGCAGCCCAGCCUGGCAUGCGGCCUUGGGCAAGAUGCCCCACUGCACCCUCCCCCCACGUUCCUGCCCCAGAGUGGGAUGGAGAUAGAGGAGGAGGGGUCAGUGGGUCCCGUCCUUGAUGCCCACUGAAGGCAGCACUGGCCAGCCGGGGCCCUUCCCUGGGCACUAUCUCCUGGACCUGCUCCAUCCAAGGCUCCACCAAACACAAGAGCCCUUUCUAAGGAGGGAAGCCCUGGCCGCGAUGGGAGCCUCCGCAUCCAAGUGGCCCCAUGGAUACUGGCCUCUGCCUGAAGACCUGAGUGCCACGUGGGACCCUCCGUCCAGGAGGCUGGAAGCUGGGGCCACCAGUCUUGCAGGCUGCAGUGUGAUGACGUCAUGAGAGGACUCGCCUGGCGCCUGGGUGUGGAACAGCGGAGACAGACCUGAGAACAGCCUGGCUGCUGAGCGCCAGUCCUUUUCACCUCUGGGCAGUUUCUCUAUUUCCCAAUUUUCCACAAAGAUCUCAUAAACUUUCAUGAUCACAAACAUGUAUUAUCUCCAAAGUGGAAAGUACAAAGGUGUGUUGUUUUUAGCUGGUUUUAAAAGUGACAGAGGCUCACUGUGGAGCUCUGACAGCAGUAGGUGCAGGCAGAGAAGACCUCCUCCCUACCCUGACCCCCCUCCCAAACCCAACUGGGCCUUCUGCCCCUUCCUGUCACCUGGGACCCAGGGCAGGGCUGCUGCAUGUGCGCCCCACCCACUGUGGGCCCUUUGGGAGGAGGUGAGCAAGACAGAGUGCCCCCUGCCCCUGGUGCAUGG